UACAGAGGUCUCAAGCGUUGUUCGGAUUCAUUGGGCGUAAAGGGUGCGUAGGUGGCGCUGUAAGUCAGGUGUGAAAUUUCGGAGCUUAACUCCGAAACUGCAUUUGAUACUGCGGUGCUUGAGGACUGGAGAGGAGACUGGAAUUCACGGUGUAGCAGUGAAAUGCGUAGAUAUCGUGAGGAAGACCAGUGGCGAAGGCGGGUCUCUGGGCAGUUCCUAACACUGAGGCACGAAGGCUAGGGGAGCAAACGGG
rnacentral:rRNA from 1 species